CCAUCGUGCAGUGCCAGUUCAUUCAGAAGCUGCGUCUAUGACAUCAUGUGCAAGCCAUCCUGAAGUGACCUUUUGUGUACCAUGCAACAACAAAAAAAGUGAGAGAUGUCAUGGAGACAAUGAAGGGUUUGACUGGCACUGUAGCUGGUAUCAUACCCCUCCAUCUGAUUUGAGGUAGCCAAAGAAGAAACUGUGCAAUGUUCCCACUGCGGGUGACUUUUGACAAUAUUUAUGUGCAUAUCUUCCAUGUUAAAAUUGUUUAAAACUGAGACGUGCUACGUUUUUAUAUCACCUGACGUUACCUUUUGUGUAGAGUUUGACCUCUACUAAUUGCCAUUAUCAUACCCCUCCAUCUGAUUUGAGGUAGUCAAAGAAGAAACUGCGCAAUGUUCCCACUGCGGGUGACUUUUGACAACAUUUAUGUGCAUAUUUUCCAUCUUAAAAUUGUGUAAACUAAGACUUGUGUUGCCUUUUAUAACGUCUGAAAUUACUUUUUGUGUACCGCGCAACAAGAAAGAAAAAGCUAAGUGAGGAGUGUGUUGUCGACAUUCAAAGACAAAUUCAGGAUAAGAUGAAAGCUUGCAGAGAUUAAAAAAAUCCUUGAAAAGGCAUGUUGCUGGAGCCAACAUUUCGACAGGUGGACUUGUUAUCAUCAAGGCUGCCCUGACAAAGCAGGCCCGUUUGUCGAAAUGUUGGCUCCAGUGACAUUCCCAGGCCAAGGACUUUUUCAUCUCAUAGAAACGCACAAGAUGUUGAGUAGCGCCUUUGCUGAUAUCAUACAUAGUCCUUCUAUAUGUCAUCAGAGGCAGCCAAAGAACAAAAAUAUGUAACUUUCGUGUGAGUAUUGUGCAUUUCAGAAUUUUUCGUAACCUCUAAAUGUCUGACAUUAAUUUUGGCAACAUGGAAAUAAAAAAUUGAAACACGACGCCCCCCCCCCCCUUUUUUUUUUUUCACUCCAAUGUGCACUAUGAAAGGCAACGGUUCACUUGCGAAGUUCGCAGGGAAUUCUAAGUGGAGGAUAUACCGUCAGGUUCUGACUGAGUUAAACGAAGUAACAGCGCAAAUGCCGGUCAAACCACAACCGGACGACUUGUGCCGUCGUAGU